rnacentral:rRNA from 1 species
UGAGGAAUAUUGCGCAAUGGCCGAAAGGCUGACGCAGCGACGCCGCGUGGAGGAUGAAGUCCGAUAGGAUGUAAACUCCUUUUGCAGGGGAUGAAUACUUCGCUACAUGCGGAGGUGACCGUACCCUGCGAAUAAGGAUCGGCUAACUACGUGCCAGCAGCCGCGGUAAUACGUAGGAUCCGAGCGUUGUCCGGAAUUACUGGGUGUAAAGGGCGUGUAGGUGGGGCUCUCAGUCGGGGGUGAAAUCCUGCGGCUUAACCGCAGAACUGCUUCCGAUACUGGAGCUCUUGAGUACGGCAGAGGGAGAUGGAAUUCAUGGUGUAGCGGUGAAAUGUGUAGAUAUCAUGAAGAACACCGGUUGCGAAGGCGGUCUCCUGGUCCGUUACUGACACUGAGGCGC